GAUGAAGAACGCAGCGAAAUGCGAUAAGUAAUGUGAAUUGCAGAAUUCAGUGAAUCAUCGAAUCUUUGAACGCACAUUGCGCCCGCCAGUAUUCUGGCGGGCAUGCCUGUCUGAGCGUCAUUUCAACCCUCAUGCCCCUAGGGCGUGGUGUUGGGGAUCGGCCAAAGCCCGCGAGGGACGGCCGGCCCCUAAAUCUAGUGGCGGACCCGUCGUGGCCUCCUCUGCGAAGUAGUGAUAUUCCGCAUCGGAGAGCGAUGAGCCCCUGCCGUUAAACCCCCAACUUUCCAAGGUUGACCUCAGAUCAGGUAGGAAUACCAGCUGAACUUAAGCAUAUCAAUAAGCGGAGGA
rnacentral:misc_RNA from 1 species